ACAGCAGUCGCCGCGGGAAUACGAAGGGGGCUAGCGUUGUUCGGAAUUACUGGGCGUAAAGGGCGCGUAGGCGGCCAUUCAAGUUAGAUGUGAAAGCCCUGGGCUCAACCUAGGAAUUGCAUUUGAUACUGUUUGGCUUGAGUUCGGGAGAGGUGAGUGGAAUUCCCAGUGUAGAGGUGAAAUUCGUAGAUAUUGGGAAGAACACCAGUGGCGAAGGCGGCUCACUGGACCGACACUGACGCUGAGGCGCGAAAGCGUGGGGAGCAAACAGGAUUAGAUACCCCCGUAGUCCCUGUCUCUUAUAC
rnacentral:rRNA from 1 species